CAGUCGCCGCGGUAAUACGAAGGGUGCAGGCGUUAAUCGGAAUUACUGGGCGUAAAGGGUGCGUAGGCGGUUGUUUAAGUCUGUUGUGAAAUCCCUGGGCUCAACCUGGGAAUUGCAGUGGAUACUGGGUCACUAGAGUGUGGUAGAGGAUAGUGGAAUUUCCGGUGUAGCAGUGAAAUGCGUAGAAAUCGGAAGGAACAUCUGUGGCGAAGGCGACUAUCUGGGCCAACACUGACACUGAGGCACGAAAGCGUGGGGAGCAAACAGGAUUAGAUACCCCCGUAGUCCCUGUCUCUUAUAC
rnacentral:rRNA from 1 species